AUGCUUACGAGUAUAUAUAUAUGUUCCGACAUUUUCGACAUAGCCCAGCUGAAGGUCUCUGGCAAACCAAAAAUAUCUUUGUUUUUGCGCUUGAUUAGGCUUUUCCGGUGGAAAUUAAAAACAAACCUUGUUUAUUCGGUAUUACCUGAUGGACCAUUGGAAUAACCUGUAAGAAGAAAGUAACUUAAAAUAAUAUCUUGAUAACUUACAAGUUAUAUUACUUAAGGGCUAAAAAUCUUAAUAAAUCAUUCCCAUUACUUUCAGCUUGAAUGCUACAAAGGAAUGCAAAGGAAAUGUCAAUCAAUGGAAAAUCUAUUUGUAAUUCUAGGGCAAGAUUUUCUAGGAACACUAAAUUAAGCACAGCUAAGAAAUCUGGAAAAUAAUCCUUGCUCUCUGGAAAAAUCAAAAUGGAAAAUGAAAUGAAAGCUGAGCGAAGCGGCGAAGGACUUUGCUUUGAUGCAUGCCAUAACGGGAAAGAAGCCGACCGGAGUGUGUAGCGGCACACUUUAGCCGUUAGGUGGAAGACAAUCAGGAAGGACACACUCACGCACACACACACAAGUCAGGACGCUUACACACACACACACACACAUACUGCGCUUUUGAAUUGCAGUGAAGCGGAACGAGCGCAACGACCGGCAGAGAAAGUAAAAGCUGAAGCGGCAGAGGGAAAAAACAAACUAAGGGAAAAGGAUUCGAGAGUUUACGGCGCAAGGCAGCGGACUGUGCCGUAAAAGCCCCCUUACCAGCCAGGACCUCCAGCUCCAUCACUUAUUAAUUAGAGCGCCAUGCGCGCUGGCAUCGCAUCUCAACAUUCGCCGUAUUACUCAUUGCCCAGAUAUCAUAUACACUGGUUAAGGGGAAAACAUAUCACAAGUUGUAGCUGAGCUUUAAAGAAGAGUUAUGAAAAAAAUAUCCCCUGUGCGUGUGUGCGGAAGUGAAGGCAAAACUUAACAUUAAAAAUAAAUAGCCUGAUAUGCAUAAAGUUCAUAUUGCCCCACUAGAUGUCCGGCGACUGCCCUCCACCUGAAUCCUUCGGAAUCCCCUGGAAUCCUCCUUAAACCUACUCACUCCACCGCCAAUGUGGCGGCAUCCAUUUGGAGGACGAGAGUCGGAAUAAUUAUUUCAUGCGCGGUGUUUGCAUUGGGAAUAGCCAAACUCCAGUGAACCAAAUGGAAAAACUGUAAGAUGGGGGGAGGGGAAAUCGCAUGGACUAGACCCUGUAUU